AGAGAGUGUAAAAACAAGUCUCAAGGGAGCCUCUGGGCCCUGCAGGUUUCGAGCCUCCUCGUGGUUGCUGACUUGAGAACUGGGCCUGUCCCUGUACUUCUGAGAGGAGCCAGGAGUUGAUGUUGUGGGGGCUCAGAAACCUGAGUUCUGAGAACUGUGGGACUGAGAGGGGGACAGCCCCUAGGUUCUCAGUGUCUCUGGGAAGCUGAGUGGUGGUGGUGGUGGUGGGGCUGUGGGAAAAGGCAGGGCCAGGCUGGAUGGGCAAAGGUGUAGAGACUCCUCCUGUCUGGAAAACAGCUAUGGUAAAGAAGUGGAGUCCUGUCUUAUCUCCAGCCUCUGAGGAACUUACAGCCCCAGAAGGCAAGGCAUCCACCCAUGUAGCCUGUCAGGAAUCUAAGGGUAUAAGGUCACUCAUAUCCACAAAAUUCUUCCUCUGGGACCUAAUGCUUCUCUCUCCAACAUCAUUUUCCUCUGUAGGACAAUAGAGCCCAUUGAAGAGGAGCCUGGAGUUGGAGGUAUUGGCUCAAGUCCCUCCGACUGU
rnacentral:lncRNA from 1 species